rnacentral:rRNA from 1 species
GACGAACGCUGGCGGCGUGCUUAACACAUGCCAGUCGUACGGUAAGGCCCUUUCGGGGGUACACGAGUGGCGAACGGGUGAGUAACACGUGAGUAACCUGCCCACAACUUUGGGAUAACGCUAGGAAACUGGUGCUAAUACUGGAUAUGUGCUCCUGCUGCAUGGUGGGGGUUGGAAAGCUCCGGCGGUUGUGGAUGGACUCGCGGCCUAUCAGCUUGUUGGUGGGGUAGUGGCCUACCAAGGCGGCGACGGGUAGCCGGCCUGAGAGGGUGACCGGCCACAUUGGGACUGAGAUACGGCCCAGACUCCUACGGGAGGCAGCAGUGGGGAAUAUUGCACAAGGGGCGCAAGCCUGAUGCAGCAACGCCGCGUGCGGGAUGACGGCCUUCGGGUUGUAAACCGCGUUCAGCAGGGACGAAGCUUUUUGUGACGGUACCUGCAGAAGAAGCACCGGCUAACUACGUG